GUAAAGGCAUUUUGGAGACACAGGCUGGGAAGAGUCUGGACAAGGCAAGGAGAGACUUGAGCCCAGGAGUGGAUCAAGAGGAAGAUGUGGAUGGUGCUUCUGCAAGGCACGGCCUAUGUUAUUCACUAGAAGGUGAGCUCAAUUCUAGAAGAUGUUUCUUCAGUGUGCCCAGCUCCUGGAAAAGUGGACUCAAGAGAGGUUCUGGUGACAAAAAACCUCCACAAGAAACUACAGUUUCAAUCCACAGUGGGUUGCGCCUGCAAAGAAAUUUUUACAACACCAACCAUUCCUAAGGACCAUCUAUUCCUUCCUUAAUUAAAAGUAUAUAGUUAAAAAUACUUAGAGAAA
rnacentral:lncRNA from 1 species